GCCUGGUAGGCUCAGUUGGUAGAGCAUGUGACUCUGGAUCUUAGGGUCAUGAGUUCAACCCCAUGUUGGGUC
rnacentral:tRNA from 1 species